rnacentral:miRNA from 14 species
CAAGAUGCCCAGUUCUAUUUGAAUUUCAGAAAAACAACAAAAAAAAAAAAUUCAGCGUGCAUAUGCCCUAUGUAAUAUUUGGGACAUACUUAUACAAAAAAGUAUUUGUUGUUUAUCUGAAAUUCAAAUUUAGCUUGGCAUU